rnacentral:tRNA from 1 species
UUUAGGGAGACCUAACUAGUCAGCAACUGAACCCAAAAGAAGGUAGCUGCGCUAGUAAUUAAGGUCGGACGAGUGUCAAUCUCCAAGCUUUCAAACUAUUAACUGGUUCGGUUGAAACUCUCUGCAAUGAGUAACCAACUAUUCCCGGUAACAUGGGCUAUUAGCUCAGGUGGUUAGAGCGCACCCCUGAUAAGGGUGAGGUCCCUGGUUCGAGUCCAGGAUGGCCCACCUCAACUGGGAGUGAACAAGUUGUUCUAGUUCUAUUUAUCGAAUAGUAGCUAAGUCAAACCUCUAAAUCCUUACUCGAGUCAGGAUACUCCGGGUUAGUUACUAAUCAGGACAACUGCUCUCGAACCAAACUUUAAAGCAAGUUAGGAAAGGAUUCAGCACCUUUACUGAGACGAAAGUUCAGUGGAAUGCUGGAUACCAAAUCCAGUCAGCACCUUGAAAACUGCAUAGCAAUUAUUGUGGUCAAAAUUUCUGUCGAGUAGCAAUUUUGCCCUUGAGGCAAAAAAGUUCACUAGAGAAAAGAAACAAACCAAUGUGGUCAAGCUACAAAGGGCUAAUGGU